rnacentral:tRNA from 1 species
AAUCGUUUAGCUAAUUUUUAAGCAUUUGUUUUGAAAGCAUUUUAUAGGUUUACACCUAACGAUUU